GCAUUGAUGGUUCGCUGAUAUAAUUCUUGCUUUCCAUGCAGGAGACCAGGGUUCAAUUCCCAGCCAGUGCA
rnacentral:tRNA from 1 species